AGCUACCUCGUUUGCCUUCAACUUCUGUCCACAUAAAGCAAUCACCUUGUUUGGAAAAAUAUUACAAAAACUGGAGGAACAUACUUAAUAAUGUCACACUCGACAUUUACUGCAAACAUAGGUUUCUCGAAAAAUAUCUCUAAGGGUUAGCGAAUAAGUCAAGUUAGCCAGGCGCACAACUAGGUAACUUAUAUUAAACACUUGUUGCCCUACAAAUUUUUAUAAUCGCAGGUGCACAAUUAGAUAAUUCAAGGUAGCUACUUUAAGCAGCAGGUAUUUUUUUUAACUGUGCACAUAACUAGUUUUUGUGACUGGAUUCCCGUAAAUUGGAUUGGAGUUGAACUUACCUAGUUGUAGCAUUAAAAAAGGUGUAAAAGGUUAUAAAGGAAAAAGUAGAUAACUCAAAAUCGUGAAAUUUCGAGUUAGCUAGUUGUAGUAUUAAGGGGACGAUAUACAGUAGAGUCUCGAUAACGUGAACAGCCUAAUUGGUAUUUAGCCUAUUCUAAAACGUGAACGCCAAAAAUAUCUCGCCUCUAUAACGUGAACAAAAAAAUAUUUAUAUCGUUUUACCGUUUUACCCGUAGGCAUUAAGCGACAUUUCCUAUGUUCCCUUUGUCGGCAAGUUUAGUACUAACUUAGUGCUUUUGCAUAUUGCAUGUUUGGAAGAGAUAUGAAAUUUGCGUCUUAUUCAGUGUUUGUUCGCCGAUCAAUACGAAACAAGCACGAUGUCUACUAAGAAAGUAAAUUAUUUAACCCUGGAAAAAAAAGCCCAACUCUUGUCCGAUGUUAGUAGAGGUUGCGGAGUUACUUUUUUAGCAAAAAAGUAUGGAAUAACCAAAUCCACGGUGUGUGCAAUUAAGAAGAAAAAAGACCAAAUUACUUCAACAGUUGCCUUGACUUUUUCUGGACCAGGUAAACGAAAAUCUCUUAGACCUUCUGAAUAUCCAUUAAUGGAAAAAGGCUUUGUAUAAGUGGUUUUUGCGACAACGAGAGGGGAAUGCACCAAUAAGUGAUUUAAUUUUAAAAGAGAAAGCCAAAUAUUUUCACGAAAAACUGUACGACAAAAAUUCCACUUUUUCUGCGAGCUCGGGGUGGUUGCAAAAGUUCAAGAAAAGAUUUGGCAUACGCUUCCUAACAAUAACUGGUGAAAAACUAUCUUCUCAGCCCGAGCUGGUUUCACCAUUCUUACGUAAACUUGAAGAAAAAAUCAAGGACUUAAACUUAGACUAUAACCAAGUGUACAACGCCGAUGAAACCGGCUUGUACUGGAAGCUUUUACCCGGAAAGACUUACGUAUCCAGUGAAGAAAAAACUGCCCCUGGAAGAAAAACAGCCAAAGAAAGAAUAACGUUUCUAGCAUGUACAAAUGCGACUGGACUACAUAAAUUGACUCCUUUGGUAAUAGGGAAAGCUAAAAAACCACAAAGUUUUAAGAACUCUUACAUUCCUGUACACUACAAAAACUCACAAUCUGCAUGGAUGACAGCCGGAAUUUUUAAGGAAUGGUUCAAAGAAAUUUUUGUUCCUGAGGUGAGAAAGUUUCUUAAGAAAUAAGGUCUUCCAGAGAAAGCACUUCUUUUAUUGGAUAAUGCCCUCAGUCAUCCCCCAGUAGAGGAACUUUUAUCUGAUGAUAAUGGGACUAAUUCAAGUUAUGUAUAUGCCUCCCAAUGUGACAUCCUUAAUUCAACCUAUGGACCAAAACGUUAUUAGGUUGACUAAACUGCAUUUUCGCUCCAUGUUUUUGGCAAUGGUUGUAGCUAAUAAAUCUAAGAACAUGAAUGUCAUUAUCAAACAAUACAACCUCAGGGAUGCUAUUUUAAACUUAUCACGAGCAUGGAAUAAAUUAGAACCAGCAACCAUUAAAAAGUGUUGGAAAAAUAUUUUCGAAAGCCAAAGCAAUGAUGAUCGUGAACACUUGGCAACUCUUCGUCAAGAAUUGCUAAGCCUGAAUAGCAUUGUAGAGACUAACCUUAGAAGAAAUUGAUCCAGGGCAAGACUUCGAACGUGGAGAUAUCGAAGAAUGGAAUAAAGAUGACUUCGUUGAACAUGAUGAGAAUUGUACUGCAGUGUCUAAUGAUUCAGAAACCGAACAGGAUCAAGAUCCAGAGGUUUCUCAGGCUAUGGAUAAAGUCACUCACGUUGAGGCAGUUCGUAUAUUUAACAGAGGUCUAGAAAGGGCGGAGCAAAACAAUGCCGACUUCGAGGAUAUUCAGUCUUUACACAAAUUACGUGAAUGUGCAACUAUUCUUUCAAACAAACAACGUAUCCGUCAAACAAAGUUAGAUAACUUUUUUCUAAAAACAACGGAUUAAAUAUAAAUAAUGUACAUUGUAGUUACUUCCAUACAUAUACUUACCUAUAUAAUAAAUAUUUUUUUCUUUAUACCAUGUAUAAACAUAUACAUAUACAUUUUCAACUAUGUAUUACUAACUGUAUAACAUGUUUUUGUUUGAUUUUCCAAUAAAAUAUAUAUUCAAAGUACA